GUACGGGAGGCAGCAGUGGGGAAUUUUGCGCAAUGGGCGAAAGCCUGACGCAGCAACGCCGCGUGCGGGAUGAAGGCCUUCGGGUUGUAAACCGCUUUCAGCAGGGACGAACGUGACGGUACCUGCAGAAGAAGCCCCGGCUAACUACGUGCCAGCAGCCGCGGUAAUACGUAGGGGGCAAGCGUUAUCCGGAUUCAUUGGGCGUAAAGCGCGCGUAGGCGGCUUGUUAAGUCAGAUGUGAAAACCGGGGGCUCAACCCGCGGCCUGCAUCUGAAACUGGCAGGCUUGAGUCUGGUAGAGGAAAGUGGAAUUCCUGGUGUAGCGGUGAAAUGCGCAGAUAUCAGGAGGAACACCAGUGGCGAAGGCGGCUUUCUGGGCCACGACUGACGCUGAGGCGCGAAAGCUAGGGGAGCGAACAGGAUUAGAUACCCUGGUAGA
rnacentral:rRNA from 1 species